rnacentral:tRNA from 1 species
GAGGAUAUAGCUCAGUGGUAGAGUGCCUGCUUUGCAUGCAUGAGGCCCUGGGUUCAAUCCCCAGCACCUACU